rnacentral:rRNA from 1 species
UACAGAGGUCCCGAGCGUUGUCCGGAAUCACUGGGCGUAAAGGGCGCGUAGGUGGCUUUGUAAGUUUGCGGUGAAAGCCCGGGGCUCAACCCCGGGUCUGCCGUGGAUACUGCAAGGCUUGAGUACUGUAGAGGCAGGUAGAAUAUCGGGUGUAGCGGUGGAAUGCGUAGAGAUCCGAUAGAAGACCGGUGGCGAAGGCGGCCUGCUGGGCAGUAACUGACACUGAGGCGCGACAGCGUGGGGAGCAAACAGG